GGGUUGUGAGGUUAAGCGACUAAGCGUACACGGUGGAUGCCCUGGCAGUCAGAGGCGAUGAAGGACGUGCUAAUCUGCGAUAAGCGUCGGUAAGGUGAUAUGAACCGUUAUAACCGGCGAUUUCCGAAUGGGGAAACCCAGUGUGAUUCGUCACACUAUCAUUAACUGAAUCCAUAGGUUAAUGAGGCGAACCGGGGGAACUGAAACAUCUAAGUACCCCGAGGAAAAGAAAUCAACCGAGAUUCCCCCAGUAGCGGCGAGCGAACGGGGAGCAGCCCAGAGCCUGAAUCAGUGUGUGUGUUAGUGGAAGCGUCUGGAAAGGCGUGCGAUACAGGGUGACAGCCCCGUACACAAAAAUGCACAUGCUGUGAGCUCGAUGAGUAGGGCGGGACACGUGGUAUCCUGUCUGAAUAUGGGGGGACCAUCCUCCAAGGCUAAAUACUCCUGACUGACCGAUAGUGAACCAGUACCGUGAGGGAAAGGCGAAAAGAACCCCGGCGAGGGGAGUGAAAAAGAACCUGAAACCGUGUACGUACAAGCAGUGGGAGCACGCUUAGGCGUGUGACUGCGUACCUUUUGUAUAAUGGGUCAGCGACUUAUAUUCUGUAGCAAGGUUAACCGAA
rnacentral:rRNA from 1 species